UGUGGUAAAAAUAGCCCUCUCAUUGGCUCAGGCCCACUCACCACUGCAUGUAAGAGUCUGAAGCAUGAGCAAGGCUGAGUAGAGGGAAACGAUUGUGGGAUUCAGUCUUUUCAAGGCACUGCUAGUUCAAUCGGGUAGCAGAGAACGUAUCAAGGGUCUCCAUCUUUAACGUGCCUACCGCCCGCACGCACCUCCAAACUGCACGGUGGCAGUUCAUCAUGUUUGUGUUACAAGACAGAGAUAACGUGCUCCUUGCCCAGAGCCAGUGACGUGGGCACACAUGAGGCAGGUGUGGGCCACCUACAAUACAACCCCUAAGAAACACGAAAGAACAACUUCUUGUAUUUGUCAAGAGCACUGAGUUGUCUGUGUGUUCGCUUGAGCCCACGGAGAGGCCCAGAUCACCACACGGCAAUAUCAAUCAUGCCUUUAUGAUUCAUCUCUCCUAAAAGCCUGCGCUGAAAUGAUAAUGCACUAACCUGUCUCCAG